UACGUAGGGGGCAAGCGUUGUCCGGAUUUAUUGGGCGUAAAGAGCGUGUAGGCGGUUUGGUAGGUCCGUUGUGAAAACUCGAGGCUCAACCUCGAGACGCCGAUGGAAACCAUGUGGCUAGAGUCCGGAAGAGGAGAGUGGAAUUCCUGGUGUAGCGGUGAAAUGCGCAGAUAUCAGGAAGAACACCCGUGGCUAAGGCGGCUCUCUAGUACGGUACUGACGCUGAGACGCGAAAGCGUGGGGAGCGAACAGG
rnacentral:rRNA from 1 species